GGAUCUUAAGUUCCAUGACAGAGGAUUUAUUUCUUGGACAGGUUUUCUCUAAAGUUUCCUCUCAAGUUUGGGAGGAACUUAAGGAGACUUACGAUAAGGUUGACGGAUCGGUGACUUUUAAUCUCUAUCAAAGAAUAAAUUCGUUGAGUCAAAAUAACCUGCCCGUUUCUAAAUACUACCAUAAAUUGAAUUCCCUUUGGAAACAAUUCGACGCUCUUGUGAAACUUCCAUCCUGUACUUGCAAUGCCUCGCAUGAUUUCCUAGAACACAGCCAACUUAUUAAACUAAUGCAAUUCCUUAUGGGUCUUGAUGAGGUUUAUCAACCUAUUAGGAGCAACAUUUUAACUAGAGAUCCUCUCCCAUCCGUUAAAACUGCUUUUUCUCUCGUAUCUAGGGAGGAAUCUCAUAGGGGAAUCAAUUCUAGUCAAAAUCGUGGAAAAAAUCAAAAUUCUGCUUUUUUGAGCAAAGGUUUUGAAAAUAGAAAAAGACCAGGAAGAAACACUACUGGUCUCAUUUGCAAACAUUGUGGGAUUUCUGGACACACAAUUGAGCGUUGUUUCAAACUUAUAGGUUUCCCAAAGGAUUUUCAAAAUCGCCCCAGAUCUCAACCUCAAUCUCAAAAUACUAAAUUUCAAAAUCAAGGUUUUAAACCAUCUGUUGGUAAUGCCUCUGUUCCUGAGUCUGCUUCUCCAAAAUCAUCCUUUACUUUUUCUGAAGAGUAGAUAGCUAAGAUCCUGAACUUGAUCAAUCCCAAAGUCACCUCUGAAGGACCUUCUGCCAAUAUGGCAGGCUGGAGUCCCCCUUAAUAUGUGGAGUGAGUGUGUCUUAACUGCUACUUACCUGAUUAACCGAACUCCCACUUCUCUUUUAAAUGGUAAGAGUCCCUACGAGGUUAUUUACGGCUUUAAACCAGUUCUAACUCAUCUGCGUAAUUUCGGAUGUCUCUGUUUUGUUCAUAUUCCCAAUAUAUCUAAUAAGUUCUCACCAAAAUCUGAAAAAUGUAUUAUGUUGGGAUAUGCUAACUCAAAGAAGGGUUAUAGGCUAUAUAGCUUAGAAACCAAGAAAAUUGUUUUUUCCAGAGACGUAAAAUUCUAUGAGAAUAUUUUUCCUUAUAAGAUGAGUACUGAGGAAACUGAUUUGGUUGUAAAUGAAAAUGUUGAUAAUCUGAAUUUCUUUGAUAUUGUUUCUGGUUCCUCUAAUGAGUUCAAUGUUGUGGGACCCGAUGAUGAGAAUAGUAGACCUGUUACUGAUGAUCCUAAUGACCAAGAAAAUUCUAGUAACAGUAGACAAAGAGGACUAGGUAGCCUAUCUAGGGACAAUAAUAGUCAGCCCGCUAGGCAGCUCGAUUGAUCAGGAUAGACAAAGUCUUCCCCAAAAGGAUAGUCUUGGUGGAGUUACCAGUUGGCAACCUUUGGGUAGCUCUAGACUGGUUGCCAGUCCUCCUAGUAAUAUUGUAUUAGCUAAUGAUGAUAAUACAGGUCUUGUCCCUGAGGGUAA